rnacentral:rRNA from 1 species
UGGGGAAUUUUGGACAAUGGGCGAAAGCCUGAUCCAGCAAUGCCGCGUGUGUGAAGAAGGCCUUCGGGUUGUAAAGCACUUUUGUCCGGAAAGAAAUCCUUGGCUCUAAUACAGUCGGGGGAUGACGGUACCGGAAGAAUAAGCACCGGCUAACUACGUGCCAGCAGCCGCGGUAAUACGUAGGGUGCAAGCGUUAAUCGGAAUUACUGGGCGUAAAGCGUGCGCAGGCGGUUUGCUAAGACCGAUGUGAAAUCCCCGGGCUCAACCUGGGAACUGCAUUGGUGACUGGGCAGGCUAGAGUAUGGCAGAGGGGGGUAGAAUUCCACGUGUAGCAGUGAAAUGCGUAGAGAUGUGGAGGAAUACCGAUGGCGAAGGCAGCCCCCUGGGCCAAUACUGACGCUCAUGCACGAAAGCGUGGGGAGCAAACAGGAUUCAGAUACCCUGGUAGUCCAGCGCCCUAAACGAUGUCAACUAGUUGUUGGGGAUUCAUUCCUUAGUAACGUAGCUAACGCGUGAAGUUGACCGCCUGGGGAGUACGGUCGCAAGAUUAAAACUUAAAUGAAUUGACGGGGUCAUA